rnacentral:rRNA from 1 species
GGUUAAAAAGCUCGUAGUUGGAUUUCUGUUGAUAACGGCCGGUCCGCACUAUGUGCGUGUAUCAGGUUCGGUGUCGGCAUCCUCGUGGGGAUCGUUUCUGUGCUUGAUUGCAUGGGGCGGAAUUCACGACUUUUGCUUUGAGGAAAUUAGAGUGUUCACGGCAAGCUAUCGCUUUGAAUACAUUAGCAUGGAAUAAUGAUAUAGGGCGUGAGUUCUAUUAUUGUUGGUUUCUAGGUCGUACGCAAUGAUUAAUAGGGAUAAUUGGGGGCAUUCGUAUUAACGCGUCAGAGGUGGAAUUCUUAGAUUAGCGUUACGACGAACUACUGCGAAAGCAUGUAUGCCAAGGAUGUUUUCAUAUGAUCAAGAACGAAAGUAUGGGGAUCGAAGACGAUUAGAUACCGUCGUAGUCUAUACCAUAAACUAUGCCGACUAUAGAUUAGGAGGUCGUUUUUUUAUGACUCCUUCAGCACAUUAUGAGAAAUCAAAGUUUUUGGGUUCCGGGGGGAGUAUGGUCGCAAGGCUGAAACUUAAAGGAAUUGACGGAAGGGCACCACCAGGAGUGGAGCCUGCGGCUUAAUUUGACUCAACACGGGAAAACUUACCAGGUCCAGACAUAGUAAGGAUUGACAGAUUGAU